AUGCCGCGGUGAAUACGUUCCCGGGCCUUGUACACACCGCCCGUCACACCACGAGAGCUUGCAACACCCGAAGUCGGUGCGGUAACCCGCAAGGGAGCCAGCCGCCGAAGGUGGGGCAAGUGAUUGGGGUGAAGUCGUAACAAGGUAGCCGUACCGGAAGGUGCGGCUGGAUCACCUCCUUUCU
rnacentral:rRNA from 1 species